rnacentral:rRNA from 1 species
AGUGAACGCUGGCGGUAGGCCUUACACAUGCAAGUCGAACGGCAGCACAGUAAGAGCUUGCUCUUACGGGUGGCGAGUGGCGGACGGGUGAGGAAUACAUCGGAAUCUACUUUUUCGUGGGGGAUAACGUAGGGAAACUUACGCUAAUACCGCAUACGACCUACGGGUGAAAGCAGGGGAUCUUCGGACCUUGCGCGAUUGAAUGAGCCGAUGUCGGAUUAGCUAGUUGGCGGGGUAAAGGCCCACCAAGGCGACGAUCCGUAGCUGGUCUGAGAGGAUGAUCAGCCACACUGGAACUGAGACACGGUCCAGACUCCUACGGGAGGCAGCAGUGGGGAAUAUUGGACAAAGGGCGCAAGCCUGAUCCAGCCAUACCGCGUGGGUGAAGAAGGCCUUCGGGUUGUAAAGCCCUUUUGUUGGGAAAGAAAAGCAGCAGGUUAAUACCCCGCUGUUCUGACGGUACCCAAAGAAUAAGCACCGGCUAACUUCGUG